rnacentral:rRNA from 1 species
GAUGAACGCUGGCGGCGUGCUUAACACAUGCAAGUCGAACGGUGAACACGGAGCUUGCUCUGUGGGAUCAGUGGCGAACGGGUGAGUAACACGUGAGCAACCUGCCCCUGACUCUGGGAUAAGCGCUGGAAACGGCGUCUAAUACUGGAUAUGUGACGUGACCGCAUGGUCUGCGUUUGGAAAGAUUUUUCGGUUGGGGAUGGGCUCGCGGCCUAUCAGCUUGUUGGUGAGGUAAUGGCUCACCAAGGCGUCGACGGGUAGCCGGCCUGAGAGGGUGACCGGCCACACUGGGAUUGAGACACGGCCCAGACUCCUACGGGAGGCAGCAGUGGGGAAUAUUGCACAAUGGGCGCAAGCCUGAUGCAGCAACGCCGCGUGAGGGAUGACGGCCUUCGGGUUGUAAACCUUUUUUAGCAGGGAAGAAGCGAAAGUGACGGUACCUGCAGAAAAAGCGCCGGCUAACUACGUG